rnacentral:lncRNA from 1 species
CAAGACACAUAUUUUAAAUCCUACAUAUAAGGAGGAAAGGAACUUCCCAACCCGUUUGUCCUAAUAAAUAACUUGAUGGCAUCCGCAUUAGAAUCUUCUAAUUUAAUUGCUAUAAAUGAUCUUAUUUCUGCCAUGAUACCCUUAGUGAGGCCUCUACUCAAAAAAGUAUCCCUCACUCACCUUGCCUUGCCAAAAUCGUUCCAAUA